CCUACGGGAGGCAGCAGUGGGGAAUAGUGCGCAAUGGGCGAAAGCCUGACGCAGCGACGCCGCGUGAGGGAUGAAGGUCUUCGGAUCGUAAACCUCUGUCAGCAGGGAAGAACGGUCACUGGGCUAAGCAGCAGUGAAUUGACGGUACCGGCAAAGGAAGCACCGGCUAACUCCGUGCCAGCAGCCGCGGUAAUACGGAGGGUGCGAGCGUUAAUCGGAAUUACGGGGCGUAAAGCGCGCGUAGGCGGUAUGUCAAGUCAAGGGUGAACUCCCCGCGCUCAACGUGGGAACUGCCUUUGAAACUGGCAACCUGGAGUGUGUGAGAGGAUAGUGGAAUUCCAGGUGU
rnacentral:rRNA from 1 species